GGGAGCGCGCGGGUCGAGAGGAGUUGAGUGGAGAAUGGUCAGACUGUGAACUCUUCUCCGCUACGCCACUGUCGCCACACUCGGUAACAUUCAGUGUGCUGCAGGACGUUGUGUGGGUUGCAUGUGCGUGUUCUCCCUCUCUCCACCCCCUGUCACGACUUCUGCCAUUCCUGCUGCCCGUUGAAGUUCCGUGCACCAUGACCAAAAUUGUGGAAUGUGUGCCAAACUUCUCCGAGGGAAGGGACAAAGCGGUGAUCGAGGCCAUAGCAGGUGCGGUACGGGCGUGUCAUGGCGUCAAGCUGUUGGAUGUGGACCCAGGCGCCUCUACUAACCGAACCGUGUACACCUUUGUGGGCGGCCCAGAUGAAGUGGUGGAGGCCGCCCUUGCCGCUGCCAGGGUCGCCUUCGCCAGGAUUGACAUGACUAAGCAUAAAGGCUCCCACCCUCGCAUGGGCGCCUUGGACGUGUGCCCCUUCAUCCCCGUGCGUGGCGUGACUCAGAAGGAGUGUGUGGCCAUCUCUGCUACCUUCGGCCGGCGCCUCGCUAAGGAGUUGGGCGUUCCUGUCUAUUUGUACGGCGCCGCUGCCACUAAAGACUUCCGCACAACACUGCCGCAGAUCAGGGCCGGGGAGUACGAGGGCCUUAAGGAUAAGUUGAUACAGCCCAAGUGGGAGCCAGAUUUCGGGAGCCGUGAGUUCGUGCCUCGCUGGGGCGCCACCGUCACGGGCGUCAGGAAGUUCUUGAUCGCUUACAACGUCAAUCUUCUGUCCACCAAGGAACAGGCACACAGGAUCGCGCUCAACCUCCGGGAACAGGGUCGCGGCCCCACCCAGACCGGCCGCCUCAGAUGCUGCCAGGCCAUUGGUUGGUAUCUGGAGGAGCAACGCUUGGCCCAGAUCAGCAUCAACCUCACAGACUACGACGUGACACCCAUGCAUGUGGCCUUCGAGGAGGCAAAGAAAGACGCCGCGGAGCUCAAGAUUGGAGUGAUGGGUUCAGAGGUGGUAGGUCUCGUCCCCCUCGCGGCUCUCCUGCAGGCGGCGGAGUACUAUAUAGCCAAGGAGGAGCUGUUUAUACUGGAGGAGGAGCAGAAGGUGCAGCUUGCCAUCAACCGCCUCGGACUCAGCACUCUGUCUCCCUUCAACCCAAAGGAGCGCAUCAUCGAGUACUGUGUGGGCGCGGGGCAAGGCGUGGGGAAGCUGGGGCGUGGCAGUGUGGAGGAGUUCGUGAGGGGCGUGGCGGCAAGGACUCCAGCACCAGGAGGCGGCUCUGUGGCAGCUACUGUGGCGGCCAUGGGCGCGGCGUUAGGCACCAUGGUGGGCCAGAUGACCUUCGGCAAGCGGCAGUGGGAGGCUCUGGAUGCCACUAUGCGCCGCCUCAUCCCGCCCCUCCAUCAGGCUGCAGUCUCCCUCCUGCCGGCCAUCGACGCUGACACCGCUGCCUUCAACGCCUACAUGGACGCUGUAAGGCUUCCACAGGGAACGGAGGAGGAGAAGGGUGUGAGGGAGAGAGCGGUGAAGACAGCCACGGAGAAGACCAUCCAGGUGCCUCUCUCCCUCCUGAAAGUGAUUGACCAGACCUGGGAGCCUCUGGUGGAGAUGGCGACCGUGGGCAACAUGAACUGCAGGUCCGACUUACAGGUCGGGGCGCGGUGUCUGGAGGCUGGGGCGUGGGGUGCCUACUACAACGUGCUGGUGAACCUGGACAACCUGCUGGAGGGGCCUGAACGCAACUCCUACUUAACACAGGCCGAAGAUUUCCUGCAGAAGGCGCGGCGAGGAUGCGAGGCCGUUCUGAGCGAGGUGGAAAAGCGGGUGGAAUAGCAGGAGGCCGAGGGGGGGAGGAGGAGCAGGGGGAGUGGAGAGAGGAAUGGAGGAAAUGGAGGAAGGAGAGGAGAGAAUGUUUCGCGAAAAAGAGAAAGCGGAGGGAGGAGUAAGGAUAACGGAAGCAGGAGAGAAGGAAGUGAAAGAAGAGACAGAAGGAAGAACUCCAGCCAGCCUCCUCCAGGAAGAACCAGCAGACGACGGUAGUGUGUGUGUGUGUGUGUGUGUGUGUGUGUGUGUGUGUGUGUGUGUGUGUGUGUGUGUGUGUGUGUGUGAUUUGGAAACCGUCCUCUCCAUGCGUGCCUUCUCCAUGCCCCUCUCCUUUUAUCUCCCUCCCUCCUCUCCUCCUCCUCUCCUCCUCCUCCUCCUCCUCCCUCCUUUGUAAUCUCAAGUGUAGCAAGUCAGGUACUAACAAAGCGUAUAUGCAUUUUAUACCAAGUGUUAUGAAGUGUGUGGCAAUGAUCCAGCCACCUGAAGACGCUGGAACACAAGACGACUGAUGCUGUUCCUCGCUGAUUGGUCUAUAAAUCCUCAUCUCGUGUUCAAAAAGCACGUCAAAUUCGCUUCAUUCCUAACAGAAGCAUUACUUAAUUCUAAUAUGCCAGAUUAUUUGUGUAGGGUUAAUCCGGUGAUCUUAUCAAGGGUUUUGGUGGAAAUACGUUAAUUUGCACCAUGUUUCGUAGUAAGGCAGGAAGAGUUAGCCAGUACUCUCAUUUAUUCAUACCUUUCCCUGGUAAACUCUGGAACUCCCUGCCUGCCUGCCUUCCAUCUUCCUGCUACUUGACUUCUUUUAAGAGGGAAGUUUCAAGACAUUUGUCCCUGACUUUUGGUUAACUCUACUAAUCUUUUAAGGUAACUGGCAAUCAAGUAGGCCUCUUUUUUUUUUUUUUUUUUUGUUGUCCUUGGCCAGUUUCCCCUCUUACAUAAAAAAUAAAAAACACAUGUACGUAGAUCAACCAGCGAGAAAGAUCAACAGCCGCCACUAGUGAUAUCAAGUUCUCGUGUUCUCAGGCGGCCACAUUAUUUCAAAACACUGACAGACUACAAUGAAGGGGAAGCUCUAACAAUUGACCUCCUGGCUAGCGAACACCUCUACCUAUUAAACCUAUCCCUGAAAUGUCCUAGUAAGUUAAGAUACAGCCACUAAACUUCCACCUUUAGUAGAGCCGCUAAAAGAAGUACCAUGACGAAGUACAGUGGAUUUCAUUGAAAAUAAGUGGAUAUAGGAAUACGUGGAUUAAUAAACAAAGUAAGAGCUUAAAGACCAAAAAGUGAGAAUGUGACAGAUGGAGGAAAGUGUCUAAUACCAGAAAGUCUUACCUUAGCCACUUCAACAGGAUCCAAUAGACAUUACAGAAGGUUCCAAGAGUGCUUUCAUAGUAUAGAAAUUAACACGUGGAUUAAUUAGCAAAAUAAGAGAUUAGAGACGAAGGAGAGAGGAUGUGACAGGUGGAGGAGUGUGUCUAUUACCAGAAAGUCUUGCCUCAGCCACUUCAGCAGGAUCCAAUAGACAUUAUAGAAGGUUCCAAGAGUGCUUUCAUGAUUCCAGUAAUAGAUUAACAAUUAUCCUGUACUUGUGAUAGGGAAAGCUCUCUUGAGAACCUAUCUAUACAUCUGUGACCUUUGUAAAUUUGUUCUGGUGAGUUCAAAGCGUUUCAAAAUACAAAGCAAAUUAUUUUUUUAUUGGAACGUUUUGUGAAAUAUGAUUGAACUUAUUUGGGCAACUGCACACUCACUCUCGCCUGUUCACGACACACCAUUCAGGAAAGCGCUAUAGUAAAAAGGUCAAAAGCAACACCAGAAUGAAUAUAUGCAGAUUUGUUAUGCAUUCAAAUUGAUGUUUAAAUAGACUCUGAUGCAGUAAUACAUAAAGUGAUUCCAAGCAUUAUAUCAGAGCCAUAAAAGCCAGAUUCUCUCUCUCUCUCUCUCUCUCUCUCUCUCUCUCUCUCUCUCUCUCUAUGCCUCAGCUUGCGUAUAUAGAAGAGAGAAAGAGAGAUAGUCUGUGUUGAACUAUAAAGAUAACACUGAUAUGACUUUCUCUCUCUCUCUCUCUCUCUCUCUCUCUCUCUCUCUCUCUCAGACAUAAUUAGAAUUUGCUCAAUUAAUCAUAAGUAUAAUGAACGAGUAAAAAGACCUUCGCUUUCUUUCCAUCUGUCUUCAAACAAAUGAUUAGAAUAGUUAUUACCAAAAUGUUUCGUUCACGCCUUAAUGUUCUUCCGCUAUUUUAGGAUCUUUUCAGUUGGAUUCGUAUGGUAUUAAUGUUAUUCAUCCUUCUCAUUACAAUAGUACGAUGUAUUUUUCAUGUGAGCUUAUGAUACAUUGCUAUUUUUUCUCAUAUUGUGACGUAUGAUCGAAAGAAAAGAGAAAUAAGAACUCACGGUGAUGGAUCUAUAGUGUUUAUUGUCUAGAUCAACUUCAAUAGUCGGUGUGGGAUUGAAAACCUUUUGUAUCGGCUCCCACUUUAAUAAUAUUUCUUGUUCUUUCUUGUGUUCAUCAUAUUGUGACGUAAGAUCGAAAGAAAAGAGAAACGCAAGAACUCACGGGGAUGAAUCUGUAGUAGGAUCAACUCCAAUACUCGGCGUGGGAUUGAAAACCUUGUAUCGGCUCCCAAUUCUUUAAUAUCUCUUGAUCUUCUUACUUGUGUUCGUCUAUUCUUGGUUUACUUUCAUUUUUUUUCCAAAUUUUGAUCAUAUAUUCCUUUCUUUUUUUCAAUUUCAUCAAUAGAUUCGAUAUACUGAGGCUACGACCCCGCCAUCUUGCCUCACCCACUAACGUUUCUCUAUUUUGUAACGCUAGACUCAAACUUUAGAACGGACUCAGUAAUCAGAGUAGUAAUCAGUAUAGUGCAGAGUCAACAGAGGGCUUUAGGGAGAGUAGCUGACUAGGGAUGAUAGUUGGGUAAUGACUAGUUCUCAUCCAUGGAGGUGCUGAAGCCAUAACUACGCCAUGUUGCCACACUAACCAAGCUUCUCGUUAACCAGUAGCGCUUCGUGAGGGUUGUGGUAGCUAUAGUCUGCUGGCUUGGUGGUCAGUUUCUUGCUGGCAGUGUAUGGACCAAGGUUCGAUAUCUCUAAUGAGGGAGCUGACUUGACUAAUGAAUGUGCGUUUGUCUCUCUCUCUCUCUCUCUCUCUCUCUCUCUCUCUCUCUCUCUCUCUCUCUCUCUCUCUCUCUCUCUCGUAACCACAUCAACGAAAGCUGCCCACUAACUCACGCGUUUCAAGACAUGCUUCCAGAUUUUGUACCAGAAUAUAUAUUUUUUUGGGAAUAAACUUGCUACAGCUU
rnacentral:misc_RNA from 1 species